rnacentral:rRNA from 1 species
GACGAGGGGUCCUAGCGUUGUUCGGAAUCACUGGGCGUAAAGCGUAUGUAGGCGGGUUUUUAAGUCGGGUGUGAAAUCCCACGGCUCAACCGUGGAAUUGCAUUCGAAACUGGAAAUCUUGAGUGUGGGAGAGAUUGGUAGAAUACCUAGUGUAGUGGUGAAAUACGUAGAUAUUAGGUGGAAUACCGGUGGCGAAGGCGGCCAAUUGGCCCAACACUGACGCUGAGAUACGAAAGCGUGGGGAUCAAACAGG